rnacentral:lncRNA from 1 species
AAAAAUAAAAACAGUAGCUUAGAGGACAAUUUAAAUUUCAUGGUCAUUAAUUAAUCUGGGUUUGAAGGGCUAUAACUCCUAGAUUCAGAGCUCAUUUGGGUCCAAGCUUUGUCUGAUCAACUUGCAACUAUUCCCCAGGUGGGCACUUUAUAAUUCUAACCACUUGGAUGUAAUUUAUUGUGCUAUUAAGUUUGCAAAUCUUGGUUGUG